rnacentral:tRNA from 1 species
GAGGGUGUAGCUCAGUGGUAGAGUGCAUGUUUAGCAUGCACAAGGUCCUGGGUUCAAUCCCCAGUAUCUCCA